AAGUAUUUCAUUGACGUACAAAAUUAGCUAUACCAAUUAAACUACAUAUGGCAGCCCAUACGCAUUGUGAAAGUGGACCAACCUUAAAUAGACUUUUAAAAAGCAUAUCCAAAGAAUAAUCCCAAACAGUAACCCUAAUGUUAAAAUUUCUCACAACACCAAUGUAUUAUAUUAUACUAGCUAGGAAACUAGGCUAUAGAAAAUAAGUAAAAGAGGUGGCAAAAAAUGGUGCCAGCAGUCGCGGUUACACCAGUACCUCAAGUUAAUUCUAACAAACCGGAGUGGUUUCAAGCCUUAAAGACUACAAAAUUAACUUUUAACGUAAAAAAUAAAUUAAAACUAAACCCAAUCUAGUCAUAACUCAACUACCCCAACAAACCACAACCUCAGAACUCGGAUUAGAUACCCGACUAGCUUUGAGGCUCAACGUAAAAAAGAAUACUACGAGCGAAAGCUUAACCUCAAACAAUGUGGCGGUGCUUUACUCCUUAUCCAGGGGAUCCUGUGGCUUAAUUCGAUAAUCCACGAAAAUCUUAGCUAUUCUCGCAUUACAGCUUGUGUAUGGCCCGUUUAUGCUUGCUCAAAGAAGAGAAAAAAGGAAGCAAUAGGGCUAAUUACCCAAAAAUUCAGGUGACAUACAGCCAAUGAAUAGCAGAUCCAUGGGAUACAAAUAAAUACACUAUCAAACUUAAAGCGUCAAACUUUAACGAAGGAGGACUUGAAAGUAAGACCUCAACCCAUUAUAUCAAAUAGGUCUGAAUAAGAACUAAAGCGCGCACAAAUCGCCCGUCACUCCGAUAACAAAGUCGGAUAAGUCGUAACAUAGUAGGGGUAAUGGAAAUUGCCCCUAUCACA
rnacentral:ncRNA from 1 species